UUUUGGAAUACUCUUUGGGGAAUGUUGGGCACUAAACUUCUCUUUUCUACUACCGCCCACCCCCAAACGGAUGGUCAAACGGAGGUGGCGAAGAGAAGGCUAAGUUUGUGAAGGAGUAGCACGCUCAAGUGCAAGAGAGGAUUCGAGGGAAGGGAGAGAAAGUGGCGCGUCAAGCGAACAGAGGCCGCAAGAAGAUGGUUUUCGAACCCGGGGAUUGGGUCUGGGUGCAUCUCAGGAAGAUACGCUUCUCCGACAAGACCAAGGGGAAGCAUGCCCCAAGGGGAGACCAACCUUUCCUUGUGUUGGAGCGCCUCAAUGACAACGUAUACGUGAUCGACUUGCCUGGAGGUCCGGAUUUGAGGACAAAUCCUUUCCAAGAAGGGGAGGAUGUUACGACCACGCCCGGAAGGCCCAUGACGAGGAGCCUAUAUGAGGG